rnacentral:rRNA from 1 species
UACGUAGGGUGCGAGCGUUGUCCGGAAUUAUUGGGCGUAAAGGGCUCGUAGGCGGUUUGUCGCGUCGGGGAGUGAAAACCCAGGGCUUAACCCUGGGCUGGCUUCCGAUACGGGCAGACUAGAGGUAUGCAGGGGAGAACGGAAUUCCUGGUGUAGCGGUGAAAUGCGCAGAUAUCAGGAGGAACACCGGUGGCGAAGGCGGUUCUCUGGGCAUGUCCUGACGCUGAGGAGCGAAAGUGUGGGGAGGCGAACAGG